rnacentral:rRNA from 1 species
UACGUAGGCAGCGAGCGUUGUUCGGAGUUACUGGGCGUAAAGAGUGCGUAGGCGGUUUUCUAAGUUUGGUGUGAAAUCUCCCGGCUCAACUGGGAGGGUGCGCCGAAGACUGGAAGGCUUGAGUAUGGGAGAGGUAAGCGGAAUUCCUGGUGUAGCGGUGAAAUGCGUAGAUAUCGGGAGGAACACCAGCGGCGAAGGCGGCACUCUGGGCUGGAACUGACGCUGAGGAGCGAAAGCGUGGGGAGCGAACAGG